GACGCAUUGGUCUAGUGGUAAGACAUCCAGAUGAUAUCCCCAUGCCAAAAGCGAUUUCUCUGGAGGUCUUGGGUUCGAUUCCCAAAUGUGUCG